AGCCUAUUAGCUCAACUGGUCGAGCACCGUACAACUUGUGCGGAGAUGUAGGUUCAAAUCCUACAUAGGCUU
rnacentral:tRNA from 1 species